rnacentral:rRNA from 1 species
UAGAGUUUGAUCCUGGCUCAGGACGAACGCUGGCGGCGUGCCUAAUACAUGCAAGUCGAGCGAACUUUCAAGAAGCUUGCUUUUUGAAAGUUAGCGGCGGACGGGUGAGUAACACGUGGGCAACCUGCCUGCAAGACGGGGAUAACUCCGGGAAACCGGGGCUAAUACCGGAUAAUACCUUCCUUCGCAUGAAGGAAGGUUGAAAGGCGGCGCAAGCUGCCGCUUGCAGAUGGGCCCGCGGCGCAUUAGCUAGUUGGUGAGGUAACGGCUCACCAAGGCGACGAUGCGUAGCCGACCUGAGAGGGUGAUCGGCCACACUGGGACUGAGACACGGCCCAGACCCCUACGGGAGGCAGCAGUAGGGAAUCUUCCGCAAUGGACGAAAGUCUGACGGAGCAACGCCGCGUGAGCGAAGAAGGUCUUCGGAUCGUAAAGCUCUGUUGUCAGGGAAGAACAAGUACCGUUCGAACAGGGCGGUACCUUGACGGUACCUGACCAGAAAGCCACGGCUAACUACGUG